rnacentral:rRNA from 2 species
AACCUUAUCAUUUAGAGGAAGGAAAAGUNGUAACAAGGUUUCCGUAGGUGAAGCUGCGGAAGGAUCAUUG